AAGUCGUAACAAGGUUUCCGUAGGUGAACCUGCGGAAGGAUCAUUAACACGUAUCCAAAACAUUCAAUCCUGCUCUUGUAACCCGCGUAGUUCGCAAUCUCUGGUAAAUCAUAGCCCGGAAAGUAGUUUUGAUUCAGAGACCUCUGGCUACGUGAGAACAUUGGAACAGUUACAAUCGAGCGGUAGUUUCAUAGGCAUUGUUUCCCCAAGCAGUUAGUGUCUGAAAGUGUCACUGAUUGUGCAAGGAUAGCGCUUCAACGAUUCCUGUAGACCGUACACUCGGGCAGGAGCUAUGCCAAAGGGUCCCCAUGCCCCCUUAUAACCCCACAGUUUAAUGUGAAGCUCAAUGUAAUACAUUGGGUAAAAAAACCGAACAACUGUUAACAAUGGAUAUCUUGGUUCUC
rnacentral:misc_RNA from 1 species